AUAAAGAAGAAGAGGAACGCUGUACUGAAUACAUGCUGCUGAUCUUCUCAAGAUUGGCCUUGAUAUUAAUGUAUAUAGAAGGUUCUCACCCAAAAUAUAAAGAAGCUCAUUUUUGUGCUGCUGUAGGUGGAGCUGGGAGUAGCACAGCAGGUCGAAAAGGCAUGGCUGAUGCUCUAGCAGAUAUGAAAAAAGAUGCUGCUUCACCUUCUUAAGGCCAUCCUACAGUUAACCUAAAGAACAAACCUACUAAAGAUGUCCACAAACAUCCAGACACAUCAAAACCAGCGUGGCUUUUGGCUUUGGAAGUAGUGACAAGAACCACUUAAUGCAGUUAUACUACCCGCAGCAAAGCGCGGGCUCUCAAAGUGUUUGAACUGAAGCUGAAGCUGAAGCCUUUGGUGUCGAGGUCCAUCACUGGGGGGGGGGAGUUGCCAUCGGAGGCUUGAUCGUGGAUACCAAGGUGUUCUGCUGGCCUAGAAAGUGCACCUAGCUUUGCUGAUUCAAGGACAUGAGUAGGAAAAGGAGUUUUUCUUCAGCUUCAGAAGAUAUUGGAUUGGGGUGAGAACAAUAUUGCCAUUGCUGCUGCAACUACUGCUCCUGGGGCGUUGUUUCAGCAAGUUGUUGUUGUUGUUUGGCAUAAGCUUGACCAUCCAGAUAUUUCGAAGUUUGUUGGAGCUUCAAUGGGAAGUUCGAAUCUUAAAAUCAUUGCCAAAGGCACAUCAAGUGGUGGUCAGUCAUAAGUCACCUCCCUGCAGUUCCAGAGAUUAACUUCAAUUUUGCAAUUUGUAAAUAUACGUCAGGUUUAAACAUCACUUUUGUAAUUUGUACGGUUAUAACAUUUUCAAUUUACGUUUUUAGCUUAUGAUUGUGGCUGUUUUACAUACGACAUUUGAGAAAACAGAAAAAAGCAAACCUGCAGCGUUGAUAUCCUUUGUAAACUCGAAAACGUUUUUAGAGGCAAGAAACUCUUAUUCUAUCACUUUGAUCAAGAAUCAACUCAUUUUCAUUCA